UACGUAGGGGGCUAGCGUUGUCCGGAAUCAUUGGGCGUAAAGAGCGCGUAGGCGACCAGAUAAGUCCGGUGUGAAAGUCAAAGGCUCAACCUUUGAAUGCCGCUGGAAACUGUCUGGCUAGAGUCCGGGAGGGGGCGAGUGGAAUUCCUGGUGUAGCGGUGGAAUGCGCAGAUAUCAGGAGGAACACCGAUGGCGAAGGCAGCUCGCUGGGACGGUACUGACGCUGAGGCGCGAAAGCGUGGGGAGCGAACAGG
rnacentral:rRNA from 1 species